UUUCCAGUGCCCAAAAUAAUAAAUGUGGUUUGCCGCCUUGUUUUCAGUCUUAUCCAGGUUUACAUACAAGUACAUGGUGCUAGCUGUGUGCAAUGCUUGGAUUUGGUUUAAGCGUGCAAGCCUGAUUUCCCUAUAAGUAGUAAUAGAGGGCAAUUGGUGUGUAAAGUGACAGUGAAAAAGUGCAUUUUGUGAGUUUCAAUAUAGCUUAAAAAAAUAAAUGGCUUUGUUUUCAGAAGUCGCAAUCUUAUGAGUUUCUGUUUGCAGAGCAAUAAAUAACGCAGUCGUACAGCUUGCAUUGUUUUGAUUAGGCGUUCAAAAAUGCUUAUAAUCCCUGGAUCAUUGGCACUUGCAACAGGCAGCUGGGAUUUUUUGAGGAAUUGCUCACCUACAGCGUACAGCAGAAGUGUUGGAAAAAUUAAUAUUUUUUAGAUGUAACUAAAAAUUAAAUAUUAAUGAAGGAGAGUUUGUCAUUUGAAACAAGAGUGCUUCAUCUCAGUGAGGCUUUACUGUCCCCUCAAUCUUCAGUAAAUUUUUAAUAUCGUACUUAGUUUCCAUGUGAAUGCAAGGAGUGUUACGACUUUCAUGAGGAAAUAGGCUAGUUUGAUUUCUUUUAUAAGUGUAGAUAUAGAUAUUGUGAUCAUUAUACACACAGAUUCUUUUUCUAGAUUAUAAAAUGUGUGCCCCCAUGGGUUGUUAGGUGUGUGUACAUCAGUCCUUAACGCCUUCCCACAUUGAGAUGUUUAGGAGCUGAAGUUAUGCGCAGAAUGAAUUCUGAGUUGGAGCAUGGGUUUGGUUGCCUGACAGCAUUUGAAGUAUGUCGCCCGGUUGUACUUGAAGGUACACAUUCAAGAAAUGCUUGAUUAGUUAACGCACCCAUGCCUCAGUGGUUUUCAUUCUCUCUCAAGUUCUUAAUGAUGGGAGGGUAGGGGGAAGAUGCCUUAAAAAUAUAGGCUUUGCUUGCACUAAUUAUCAGUGGGAAGGGUGAUGCUCCUGUGCUGGCUUUGAUGCCUUAUCAACUUGGGUUUGAUCUUCUUGGUGUGCCCUCUGUCCAGGUGCUGCAACAUGUGCCCCUCCUGCUUGGCCUCUGCAUCCCUUCUUUGACCCUCGUCCCUCAAGCAUUGCAUAAAAAUUUUACAGUCCAAGGUCUUGAGAUGAGAUGUGGACAGAACCACAGUGUCCUUCAGCAGCUGCUGUAGGUAUUUCCCAAAGUGAUGCUUGGAAGUGCAAAAAUAAUCAAGUUAAAUGAUGCAUAAAAGCCAUGGUCAGUUAUCAUAUGGAACAAACAACCAAGUACACCUGAAGAAUAUUCUGCAUUGACUACACAUCUUGAAGCUGAAUCUGCUCACAGACACUGAAUGCGAACAGCAUGCACACAUCCCUAGCUCCUGUACCACCGAUUUCCAACGUGUCAUUGUUCCCGCUGGAAGCGCUCUGUCCUACCUGCAGCUGCACUUAACUCGGGCUGACAGUGAUGCUGCCGUGCAAGGCUCUGCACCAUGUCAAGGCCUUAGGGAGGAGAAAAGGUCGGAGCUGAAGGCAUACGGAGAGGAGCAUUUGGAUGUGGCAGCUCACAUCUGAGUGAUGUGAGCAGCAGUUGUUUCCUGCAGGAAGACAGUGAUGUUUGCAGAAGUAUAAUACAUGUUGAUGGGUGCGUUGUUAUUCCUGCAGAAGCAGUACUUUUACCUAUGGCUUUCAGAUGUUUCCUGGAGUUGCAGUUAGUGCCAUGUGGUAGGUUGGCAGCAGGGGGGAGAUGAGCUGAGGGGACUGACAAGAAGCAAAUGUCAAGUUGCUGUUCUUGAACGAGGACCAGAUGAGAAGUCAAAUCGUCUGCCCAUCUUGGAGGGAGACGUCUCUCUCAACUCUUUGAUGCUGAAAGCUGGGCAGCUUUCAGCUAUUUUGGUCAAAACUUGACUCCCUAGAGGAUGAUUUUCGGUCUCUGGAAAUUAACGGGAGCAGAAAUUUUGCAGACCAAGUUCACUUAGCUGGUACGGUAAGAAUAGCAUGAAAUGUUAAGGCUCAGUAUUGAUAGGCACUGAUGCAUUAUUACAGGGAUGAAGAAACAGGCAAAAGCUCCAUGCAGUAGUCAUGAUCAGCUUAUAUAUAACAGCUUGUGCCACUGUCCAUCAUCCCCAUUUCAGUUUGAAUACCCUAGUGAAAUCUAGACUGAGGCUGUUUGUGAUUAAGGCUACAAAAAAAAAUCGGAUUUAAAAUUUGAUGACAUAGAAGAAAUGCUUUAUUUGAUAGCUGGACUUCUAAAUAUAUUGGAAUCUCAUCACUCUGACAUGAAAAUACUUCCUAUUUAUAUUGCGUUUUAAGUUUUGAUGCAUCAUCCGAAAAUGUUUGUUUGUAUUUUUGGCACUUGUGAUUUAUUGAGGGUUCUGUGGUGAGUUGGAGUGAGGCAGAUGGCAUUGGUCCUAGCCUCCAGUGCCCACAGGCCUGGUAGCUGAGGUGUUUCCAGCCCAUCCAGUGAGCACGUGCUUCUUCCCACUCCACAAGCAGCAGGGAGCUGUGGAGUGUCACCUCCAAGCCAGCCGUGGUAGCAUUGAUCACAGGCAGCUAGUUCUGGGUAUAUGAAAUCAAUAAGCGGGCCAGCUUUGGAAGCGAGGAAGGAUCCUGUCAGCUUGGGAGCUGUCCUUCUGAAACAGGAGGAAGCUGUUCUUCAUACAAAGUAAAGGAAGCGCUGGUGCUUGUGGGAUUUCGUGCUGUGCUCGAACUUGAGAGCUCAUGGGUCCUGUGGGAUGCAGUAAUUCGGCAAGAAAAACUCCAGGCAGUGGAAGUCUUGAAAGGCUUUUGCUAGUCAGCAUUUGUACUGCAGGCAUUACAAGUAGAUUUCAUUCUUCUGCCACAGCUGAAGUUAAAAGUGAGCAUAAACUAGAAAUACUACGAGCUGUUUGGGGUUUUCCAUCUAUUGGGUGUUCAAAUUGAUUAUUUUGAGAGAUGGGCGGUAUUUUAUACAGGUGUCUGGCACUUAAGGAUUGUCCUUCUCAGAAGAACAUUUGAUGUUACUGCCGUAUCCUUAUAAUGCUUUCUGUAGAUUUGGGUGUUGGGAUAAAAAUAAAGUGUUGGAGUCAUGUUUACAGUCAAGAUUAAUA